rnacentral:rRNA from 1 species
UACGUAGGUGGCAAGCGUUGUCCGGAUUUACUGGGCGUAAAGAGCGCGCAGGCGGUCGUUCAAGUCGCGUGUGAAAGCCCCCGGCUCAACUGGGGAGGGUCACGCGAUACUGAUCGACUCGAAGGCAGGAGAGGGAAGUGGAAUUCCCGGUGUAGUGGUGAAAUGCGUAGAUAUCGGGAGGAACACCAGUGGCGAAGGCGACUUCCUGGCCUGUUCUUGACGCUGAGGCGCGAAGGCUAGGGGAGCGAACGGG